GGCCUCAAAGAAUGAGCACUGUAGAUCUCACAAUGGGUGAGUUAAGAGCCUCACAAUGGUGAACUACAAACCCCACAAUGACAAGCUGUGGGCCUUACAGUGGUGUGCUGUGGAUGCCACAGUAACAGGAUGGGAGUCUCAUAACAGCCUCUUCUUUAUUUCUGCAUCCAUUGAUGGACGCCUAGAUAGUUCUGUGACUUGGCUAUUGUCAGGAAUGCCACAAACAGCAUAUCCAUGCAGAACUCAGCUUCUUUGGCCUUCUGAUAUGGACUGAACACCAGUGGCCUUCCAGGAAUCCUCCAGGCCCCUGGUGCCACACUGGGAGUGCCGAGGCACCCCACUUCAUGAGGAGCUCCAGGGUUCUUGAUCUCUCCAGUGUUGAGGACAACAGUACUGUGUAAGCCAUUCCAAUAAAUAUCCUUUUUACUAUA